AUGCAAUCUGCAGAUUGUGCUCGUUCUCUUCAAUCUUUCUCUUAGCGAAAUCUCCUUUGCGAUCUGAAAUUAAAUAACGUGCGUGUUUCAACUUUACAGAGAUAUUGUGCGUUGUUAGUUUAUUUUGAUUUUUCGUCGUGUGCAGCCUUCUAUCAGUUUUACAACGGCUUUCGGUCAAUCUACUCACACUUUUCUUGAGAAAGAUGUGCUUACCAGUACUAAGUGUUCAUGCUUAUGGCGUUCACUGACAACUGGUAUGCUUGAAUCAGAUCUAUAAGGAGAUUGGUCGUAGGACGAUUGAAUGAUGGCAAGGAUGCGAACCAACCAUUUGAACACUAGUCAAACGUAGAUAACCAUAUGUCUGUACACAUGAAUAUGAAUUUAAGGUCAAAAGGUCAAAGGUGAAGAUAACUGGUAUUAUAUCAUCAUCGGUCAUCGUCUUCCAGUCGAUUAUUGAAGGAGUACCAGAAAAGCCACAGCUGAAAAAAAAAUUAAUCUAUAUUUUCAAACCUUAGCCAAUAUGCACGGAGGAAAUAUGUGAUUACAUGUAUUGAAAAGGUAAAUUCGUUGGAAUAAAAAAAAGUAACUGAAUUUACAGCCAACAUUAUGUAAGAGCUCUCUGUAAACAGGUAUGCCUGCUACAGUUCAAUGCAAGUUUUUAAAGAAACAGUAAGGGUGAAGAACGGAUACAGUAGUUG